GAAAUAAAAAUAAUGAAUAUGCUUGACUCUUUACAACUGAAGAAAAAGGAAACAAGUAUGUUGUGGGAGAAUUAUGAUUAUGUAUUGUAAGUGGAUGAUACAGUCCUGAAAGCAAUGCUCCUGACCUCUCACCUGAAUACCAAUGGAGAGCCGGUUCACACCAGCUUUCUGGAACUCAGAAAGGCGGAGGGCGUCUGCUGAAGCGGGGUUUGCUUCCAAAGUAACUUCAGCACCUUCUGCUAAAUGUGCGCAGUGGGAGACAGUGUCCAGGAUAGCAUUAAUGGUGUAUACAAAAACACUGAACCAUUUCAAAGGCAAAUGCUCUGCAAGACACCAAUCUUAAUUUUAAAAUGGGAUGUUCUGUUCAUUUUGGAAGUGUUUGAAACUGAGCCACUGUUUUGAAUGCGAAUACUCUGUUUCAAGAUCAGAAACACAGGGUUUCUUUGGAUGCAUCUCAAUGUGAAACAAAUCCAAAUAAACACAGGAAACUUGUCAGUAUCCUGAAUAGGUGUCAGGUGACAAUAAUCAUCUGGAUGAAGACAAAUAAAUUGAAACUCAAUCCAAACAAAACAGAUGUGCUUCUGAACAGAUGGAUUUGGGAAUAGAAUUUCAAUUGCCUUCAAUGGGGAAGAACUCUCACUGAAUAUUCAGGAUAAAUCAAUCUGGGCUAUUCCUGGAUUCAGCUUUGUAUCUGGAAGAUGACAUGUGGUUUUAGAUGUAUUAACUCUAUUUGAAUUCCAGAUAAGAUCAAACAUGGCUGACAUAUACUUUAUUUAACAUCUACACUGGAUUAUUGUAAUACUCUCAAAACCUGGUUAGUGUAGAUUUUAAAAAUCAUAAUGUUAAGAAUGGCAUAAUGAGAAUGAGAAAUAAAUAUAAGCACCAGGCUGUGCUAAAAGACACCUUUGUUAUUUUCAGCACAGGAACUGUUUUAUAUUUUAUUUAUUUAUUUAUUUAUUAAUUCAAUUUGUAUGUCGUCCCUCUCCGAAGACUCAGGGCAGCUCACAAUGCAUUUAAAAUCAUUAUAAAAAACAUUUUAAAAUUAAAAACAUUAAAAACAUUAAAACUCAUUCACACCAUUCACGGCCGGAUCUCGCCGGAUCGCAAGAGCAAGAUCAACGGCCCCAGGCCUACCGGAAAAGCCAGGUCUUUACCGCUUUUCGGAAGGCCAAUAGGGUGGGGAUGGUCCGGAUCUCAGGAGGUAACUGGUUCCAGAGAGCUGGGGCAGCCACAGAGAAGGCCCUCCCCUGCGGGCCCGGCAGCCGGUAUUGUUUAGCUGACGGGAUCCGGAGGAGACCAACACUGUGGGAUCUUAUCGGUUGUUGGGAGUUAUGCGGUAGAAGGCGGUCUCAAAGAUACCCUGGUCCUGAGCCAUGUAGGGCUUUAAAGGUAAUAACCAACACCUUGAAUUGUGACUGGAGACCAAUAGGGAGCCAGUGCAGCUCGCGGAGAAUUGGUGUAAUGUGGGUGUACCUAGCUGCACCCAUGACAGCUCAUGGGGCUGCAUUCUGGACCAACUGUAGUCUCCGAACACCUUUCAAGGGUAGCCCAUUAUAGAACAGAAACAGCAAGUAAAGAUAAAUGGUUAACAUAUUGUUAAUUCAAAAUGUGGUGAACCCAACUACUUACAGUGGAUUAUUAAAAUAUUUAAUAAUCAAUUGAAACCAUAUUUUUUGUUGAGUCUUAUGGACAGUCAAUUAGAAAAGGCUCAUGGAAGAUUUGUUUUCAUAUAUAUGGCAAUUGCAGCAAAAUUACUAUUAUUUGCACAAAGAUGAAAACAAUCGGAAAUAUCUACCCUGGAGGAAUGAUUGGCGAAGAUAAAGAAUUUGUAGAAAUUUCAAAAUUGAACUGUUUGUUUAGGGAAAAGACAACUACAUUUAUCAGUAACUGGAAACCCUUUAUGUCUUCUUGUUGAAAAUGGGAAAAAAUGAACAAUCUAUAGAUUUCAUGAUUAGAAAGCAUAAAAUAUGUGAAGAAGGGAAUUAUGAUAUAACCUUAAAAAGGGAAGAUAGAAGAUAAAUUUAUUUGUAACUGCCAUAAAGAAGACUGGAAACCACUUCCUUAUACUUUUUAAAAAAUCUAUUCACCACUUAGCUUUACUCUUCUGUUUCUUGAAUUUGUAUAAUUUUUACCACUGUAUAAAAUUAUUCAAUAAAAAUUAAUCUUAAAAAUACCCAGUUAGCUGAUGGAAAUAGGGAGCCAACAUGAGGUAGAUGUAUUAUGUGUAGGAUGUUGAUCCAUUUUUUGUGGUCUUAUUUAUGUUAAAUUGUUUUUAGAGGUUAUUUUUUGAGUUGUUUUUAACUGUUGGUUUUAUUGUCACAUUUGUAAGAUAUGUGGUUAUACAAAUUUGAUAAGUAAAUAAGUAAGUCUCUUUGUUCCUAAGAAUUUAAGAAUUUUGGGGAAUUGCAGUGUGUUUUGUACAGAAGAUAAUGACUUGUAAAACAGAUGAAUGAUGUGGAUUGGGGGGUGGGGGAAUUGUCAUUUAAUUAAAAAUUUAAAAGAUAGAUUUGGAGACUUCCAAAUCCUUUUUA